CACCUCUCGACAGGACCACCAAUUAGAAACUUUCUAGGACAAAAGUCACAACCAUGUUAAGGAUAUUAUAGGAAUUACAAGCCAAUGGCCAAAACACAACACAAGGAAAAAGCUAGGGGGACCAAAAUUGCAAUUUUUAAUAAAUCAAAGUAUAUCAUCUUCUGCAACUAAACCGAACGUUACUGCUGCAUUUCUCUUUCUUAUUCUCCUCCCGAUUGAUUCUCAACUCCGGCCAUCACUACCUCCCAUUUUUGCCUACCACCUCCUUAUCCGACCGCGCCUUCAGACCAUCUUCAUGGGCAAGUGAAGAAGAUUCUUGUCGAUCUUCUCAUCAGUCACAAAUUCUCUGUCAUUCGGCACCAAGCUCAAGCGAACAAUCAAACAAUUGAACCCAACAACAUUCACGAAAUUUUAGUUACCAUUGGCACUCAUAAUUAUUCUCAUUAGUGACUCGCUCGUGGAGCCCCGAAUCAAACGAGUCGUGUCUUGACAGUGGGAGCAAGGCACAUCUCAUUGUCGGCUUGUAGGAGGUACCCCAGGUUCAGGUGAAACUUGCUAGAAUUUGAGCUGAGCUCACUACCGGCGGUUGAGCUACGAAAUGAGAUAACAGAAUAAUUGAUCUUAAUCUUCUCCGGUAUCGACAAUUUUUUCUUCCAAAGAUAAGUUUUGAUCGCCUAGUGAUUCCACUAGCUGGAUUUUUGUUGUUGAGAAGAUUGGUUAAGUUCUGAUGGUGAAGGUGUUGAGGUUUUUAUAGAUGAAAUUUUGACCAUGUUUGAACUCUUUUUCUUUUGCAUUGGUGGAGAAAAUCUGAGAAAAAAAAAUACCAUGAGGGAAGUUUCUCAGACCAGCUGGAGUAUAAAUUUCAAAGAUUAGCUACGUGAUUGUAAGUUGGAGUUUUCUAGUGGCUGUUGGAGUUUUCUAUACGGUCUUAUCCCUUAUGAACAUGGAAGUUCUCAAAAUGCCUGCUCCACCAUUGAAGGAGAUGGCUGGUUUUUGGUUU